CGUAGGGAGCAAGCGUUGUUCGGAUUUACUGGGCGUAAAGGGCGCGUAGGCGGCAAUUCAAGUCACUUGUGAAAUCUCCGGGCUUAACUCGGAACGGUCAAGUGAUACUGCUUUGCUAGAGUGCGGAAGGGGCAAUCGGAAUUCUCGGUGUAGCGGUGAAAUGCGUAGAUAUCGAGAGGAACACCUGAGGUGAAGACGGGUUGCUGGGCCGACACUGACGCUGACAGCGCGAAAGCCAGGGGAGCAAACGGGAUUAGAUACCCCGGUAGUCCUGGCCCUAAACGAUGAAUACUUGGUGUCUGGAGUUAUUAGUGCUCCGGGUGCCGUCGCUAACGUUUUUAGUAUUCCGCCUGGGGAGUACGCUCGCAAGAGUG
rnacentral:rRNA from 1 species